CCUGAUGUGCUUAUGGAAGGGGACUCUCCUUCCAAACAAUAACUGCCUUCCACUUCAUCCUCCCUUCCUGCAAGCCAAAGAUGUCAGCUUGAAUGAUCUGCAAAAGGUCAGAAGGCAGAGCUGAAGUCUGAAUGCUGAUCAGAUCUGCAGCCCCGUGCCUAUCCCACACCCCGAGCUGGAGGUUCAUUCUCUGGAGCAGGUGCAGCAGUCUCUGACCAAGACCACCGGACACUUUGGGUGGGCGGAAGGGGGAGGGAGGCAAGCUGUGACCUCAUCUUCUGAGGCGAAAUCAGUAGGUGACCUCCACAUACACUGAAAACCCAGUGCUGGAGUGGUAAUUAGAAAUCUAGGGCCGGGGAUUUAGCUCAGUGGUUUCACUGCCUGCUGCGCAAGCGCAAGGACCAGAGUUUGAUCCCCAGUACCGAAGGAAAAAAAAAAAAAAAGAAGAAAUCCAUCAGGGAUCAUCUGAACAACUGAAAGAACUGGAAGACGUCAUGGAUACUUUUGGGGAGUAGGACUAAAGGGAAGGGCAAGGAACUUUUCGUCAGGGGGAGCACACUAGGUC
rnacentral:lncRNA from 1 species